GGAAACCACUGCCGGAGUCUGGCAGCUUCCUCCCAGCUGCUUUCAAAAUUACAGGGUGGCUGUCACCAUCACCCUGAGGGUCUUUCACUGCCUUCCUAGGGAAGGACCCGAGCAGAUCUUGUUCGUAUGGGGCUGGUAAAGCAUCAGGUGGCUGCCUUCCUUCUCUUCGUCCUCACAGGUGUGGGCACUGGCCAACGAGUGGUGACUAUCCAAAAGGGACCACUUUAUCGAGUACUUGGCUCCCAUGUGACAUUGUGGUGCAAGGUGAGCGGCUACCAGGGCCCAGCAGAGCAGACUUUCCAGUGGUCCGCCUACUUGCACUCUGCCCCAGAGCGGGAGGUGCAGAUCGUCAGCACCGCCGACCCCUCCUUCCCCUACGCCAUCUACACCCAGCGGGUGCGCGCCCAGGAGAUCUAUGUGGAGCGGGUGCAGGGGGACGCGGUGCUGCUGCACAUCACGGAGCUGCAGGACCGAGAUGCUGGGGAGUACGAGUGCCACACGCCCAACACCGACGAGAGGUACUUUGGGAGCUACAGCGCCAAGACAAACCUGACAGUGAUUGCGGAUACCCUCUCAGUUUCCAUGGGGCCCCAGGACCUCACCCAUGUUGAGGGAGAUGCCAUGGAGCUCACCUGCGAGGUGUCCAGGUCCACUGCCCAGCACACACACCUCUCUGUUGGCUGGUACUGCCUCCGGGGAGAACAUCGGGCUGAGAUCCUCACCCUCUCCAAGGACUUUGUCGUAAUGCCAGGACCUGCUUAUGCACAGAGGUUUCUGGCAGGGAAUGUGCGGUUGGACAAGGUUGGGAGCACUUCGUACAAACUCUCCAUUGUGGCCGUGGAGCCCUCUGACCAAGGGCAGCUGUAUUGUGAGGCAGCUGAGUGGAUUGAGGAUCCUGAUGGAAUGUGGAAGGACAUUUCCCGCAAACAGUCAGAGAGGACAUCGCUGGUGGUCACUCCCCAGGACCAAGAUCUCUGUGUGAAUAUCGCUGCCACCAAGAAUGACCUUUCUGAAGGGGACACCCUGCGGCUCAGUUGCACGCUGGAAGCCCAGAGGAGUAACAGCAGGCACUUCCAGGUGGCUUGGCUCCUCAACAGCAUGGAAGUGGCCAGGAUUGACCCCCGUGGGUUGCUGAUUUGGAAGAAGGAAUAUGAGGAGAGAGCCAGCCUAGGGCAGCUCCAUGCAUUCAAACAAAGCAACGCAAUUUACAUUUUCACCAUCCAUGAGGUGGGGCUGGAGGACAGCGGGGCCUACCACUGUUCUGUUUUGGAGGUGAAGGCUCCUGGGAGCUUCCAGAGCAUCCAAACCAACCUGUCAUCAGUUCUCGGAAUCAAUGUGAAGCCUAUUAGUCUCGGACUGUAUGCCACACUGAGAAGCCGAACAGCCACCGUCAGUUACACACAGAGCUUCGAGCUUAUCUGCCAUGUGAACGCCAGCCGCCCAGUUGAGGAGCUGCUGCUGUCUGUGGAGUGGCUCUUCCAGCCCAAGCCACCCACCGAUGGCUACCAAGAGCUGGUGCGUGUCCUUCCUAAUGGCACCGUGUCCUGGGGACCGACACAGCCCCAAUUCCAGGGCAGAGCCCAGCUGAUGAAGGCAGGUGCUUUCUCUCGGCUGCACAUCCACAGUGCGAUGGCUGGCCAUGCAGGGACAUACCAGUGCAAAGUGGGAGUCUGGAGGACGCUUCGGGGGCAGUGCACUGCCUCCUUUACCUCCAACCCUGUGGGGAUAAAGGUUGUCCUACCAGAAAGCACGCUGCAGGUGACUACAAGGGAGAGCUCCAUGGAGGUGGCUGGCGGUGCUGAUGCAAGCAUCGAGUGCAGAAUGGAGUUCCCUCUGAACAGCUCUCAGCUGGCUAUCAGCUGGUACUACCUACCUCCUCCUCCAGCAGAUGCCACCCCCAUGCAGAUCGUACAGGCCAGCCACACUGGCCUGCUGGAGUACGGGGCUGAGUUUAGCUCCCCCACACAGAAGUCCCGGUUCCUGAGCCAAAGAAUGUCCAGCCAUGUGUUCCAGCUGCGGAUUCUCUCGGCCAGCCCUGGGGACCAGGGUCAGUACUGCUGUGCAGUAGAGGAAUGGCGCUGGCUGGAGGGUGGCUGGUAUGGCCUUGGAGAGCGGUGGUCAGAGAGAACCAGGCUGGUGCUCCGGCUGCCAGAGAGUGAGCUGCACCUGGAAAAGGCCAACAGCAGCAUCUUGGCCAGGCACGGCCAGGAGGUGACGCUGGGCUGCCUGCUGAAGAGCACGCUCCCGCCUGCCGCCCGCCUCUCGGCCACCUGGUUUCAAGGGAAGGAGAAUGGCCACGAGAGGCCCCUGCUCACCCUGAACCACGAUGGUGCCAUCGAGUUCCUGCAGGAGGGGCUGGUGAGGAGGCUGCAGCUCCGGAGGCCCACGGCUGGUGACCUCAGCCUGACACUGGGCAGUGUGCAAGAGGACGAUGCCGGGAUGUAUCACUGCCGGGUGCAGGAAUGGCAGCAGCGAGGCAACAAGGAUAAGUGGGAGCUGCAGACCUGGGCGCUCUCAGGGUACACGCAGCUCAUCACCACCCCACCAGAGACAACAGUUGCGUCUAGGAUCUGUUCAUCUCCACCGUUGCUGAACUUCAUCCUAUGCUUACCUCUGGUUCUGAUCCUUCUCCUGGCCCUUGCUGGCUUCUGCUGGUGCUUCAUCUCCAGGAAAAGAAAAAAGGGCACCAAAAGAGGAAACAAGCUGAUGGAACUGCAAGGGGCUGGGGGGAUCAAGCAAACUUAGCUGGCCCGUAAUGGGAGGUGUAACUUGAAGAAGAGGAACUGGACGUCUGAGAGGACCAAGACAAGAUGGGGGACAAACAAAGGAACCAAUCCUCUUGCAGAAGAAAGGAAGCACUGAGGAACUGGCCAGCAGAGGCAGCACUUCUGCCACCAAGGGCAAGGGCUGCUUGGGUAUCACAGAAUCACCAAGGUUAGAAAAGACCACUAAGAUCAUGUAGUCCAACCCUUGACCCAGCAUGGGAUGGCGUUGUCAUGAUUCUCCUGGUAAGAGGAAGGGGACUCUAGGAGGGACAGCUGGAGCCAGCACACCUGGGUAACAUAGGGACUGUCCCAGAAGGGACCCUAGGAGGAAUAUCUGCUGUGUCUCCUACUACUGCAGGGAAAUGCAGCAAAGACCAAGCACGAACUGCAAAGACCUGGAGGAAGGCUGGAGUCUGGAGUUGGGUCAGGUCUCCUUGAGUAUCCCCUGUGCAGCCAAAACCAGGUGAGCCCCAGGGUGAAAGGAUAGUGUCUGCAGGACUGGUGUAUAGUCAAAGGGUGCAGAGCCAUCCACCCUUGGAAUCCAGGAACAAAAUGCUGUUUGUAUGCUGAGGGUGGACAAAGCCAUCGUGACACUGGUCAGGAAGUUUCAUGCAAGAGGAACCUUGAGAUACACAACUUCCCUCAUCCCCUUCAUGCACCAGCUUCUCUUUUCUCAUGGGAAGUGCUGGGGCCAGGGGAGACCAUGUGGACUGAUUCUCCUGCCCUGUGAGUGUUUUGCCAGCUGCAAAAGCUGCAUGUAUGCAUGCUCCACAUGAGGCUCUGUCCAGCUGAGGGUUUGGAGUGUUUUCCUGAUUCUCAUGUAGAUACUGAUUACACCUAUUUCUGUAGAAUGCCACUUUUCAAAAUCCCCAUCCUCCACCUGUUUGAGUUGCAGAACUGAACCUCAGCAUCCAGAGUCUUCGUACGAAGCCAUCGCUCCCCUGCCUGUCUAUUUCUUAGCUCCCCAUGCAUCACAGCAGGGAGUCAAACAAGAGCCUUCCCUUUCUUGCUGCAACUCAGCACUUCUUCAGCCACAGUAAAACUGCAAGCUCUUUGCUCUUCUUGGCAAAAGCUUUGAGUUCCUAUGGCCCCAGCACUGCUUGUGGCCUGCUUAUCAGUAAGGAACCACCCAAGGCAUCAAGGGCACUUGUGGAGCUGCUGGCUCCUACGCUUUUCCAUAUAACCUUCAACCUCUCACCCACAGACAUGUGCUGCUGGGGGCUGCUGCUCCCAGGGCUGAGCACUGGCAGCCUCGUACGCUGCAAGGCGAAGCACGGCACAGCUAACCACUUCCAUGUGGGGCAGCCACAGCCACCCAGCUGCUCUUGCUGGUGACGUGACUUCCUGACGCUGCUCAGUGCUGUUGUUGUUUCCCCAGCCUGUUGCCAGGUGCUGCAGCAACACAUCACUGCAUUUAGUCACGUUUUGGAAGCAUUUUGGGGUGCUGGCGGCCUGUGGUUUGCUGUGCCAUAAGCACCACUAUCAUGAGAGACCUUGAGGACUCCUUGCACUGGGAGUGGGACUUGGGGCCAAAAAGGCUGCCAGAGCAUGUCUUAUUUCCCAGCAGACCUUGGCUGAACUCAGUCAGGCCAGGGAUUUUCACCCCAUUGUCUUGUGUUGGAUCUGAAUAAUUGUGCCAUGAAGAGGACACCAAGAAGGAGGGCCUCCAGCCUUUCACUUGGCGUGCACUACAGCAGCCAACCCUCUGCAGCUAACAGCACACCUUAUUUCCCAGCAGACCUCAUCUGGCUCUAGUUUUCAGGCCGCUGACUCUUCUUUUAGCUUUGUCCACUGAUAUGUUGAAGAGUCUUCUGAAGGUACUUGCUUGAAGCAUCUCUUUAAGAAGCAUCUGGACAAUGUCCUCAGACACGAUCUGUUUUUUGAGUGGUCCAUUGAGGAGCCAGGAGUUGGAAUUGAUGAUCCCUGUGAGUCUCUUCCAGCUUGAGAUAUUCAGUGAGGUUUGUUGGAGCAAUAUAGGCUCAGUUCUCCAUGCCCUUCUCUGAACAUGAUUUUUUACAAUCCUGGAAGAUCAAAAUCGGCUUAAACAGGCAAAAGCCUAGAGGUAUAAAAACAUUAAUUUCUCAAGUAACCCAUGCUGAGAGGUCUGCUUAAAUAUUUGAGAAUGGUUUGAAUCACCUGUACGUAACAAGGAACGAUUAAGGAAACUAAAGAUAUUUUUGAAUAUUUCCUUCACGUUCAUUUUCACUACAAAGUGGCUCUGGAGGUGCCUGCUCAGAUCUUCCUCCUGUCUUGACAAAGAUAAGAUAGCGUUAGAGAUUGAGGAGUUGGAAGAACACUUACAGAUCAUGUAACUGUCGGUAAGCUGCCACAUCAACACGGCAUUCAGCCAAGGGGUCACAGGGAUGGAAGUGCUGCCUCUCCAAAAGAACUAGUCCUCUCUCCUUCAAAAAAAGGAAAGGAGAAGGAAGGGGAGGGGAGGGGGAAACAAAACAAGAAGAGAGAGGAAAAAAAAGUAGUAUUUGUUAAAGAUGGUGUGUGUUGUGCUUGCAAUUUUAAAGGCUCUUGGAAUGACCUGGAGAAUUACAGGCCUGUUUGACACACAUGUAAAUGAAUGCCAUACCUACCAAAGUAGGAGAAUCAGCUGUGACACUUACUGCUGCUAAGGCUGCUCGAAGGUGCAACCUGCAGAGAUUCUGCAAAAGGAAACCAUGUUUGCUGAACUCUUGCAAGUCUUUGAACAGACCAGUGAAUUAGCUGAAGGACAAGACCUGUCUGACACCAUUUAUUUAGCUUUUGGAAGGCUUUUUGCAAAGGCAUGUUCAUGAGAGGACUGUUUCUACAGCUGGCAGUGUGGGAAGCAGCUUAUUGCUCUGCCUUGUGCCUGCUGGGAGGUUGGGUGAGGUGCUGGGCGGUGGUGGCACAGGGGAUGAGCACCCAUGAGGAGACCUCAUGGGAGAAGACAGAGGAGGAGAGAGGAUCCCUUGGUGACAGCUGUUCAGCCAGUAACUUCCAGGAGGACUGAACUCUUGCUGAGCCACCAAAGCACAUCUGAUCAAUAACUCAGCGUCCCAACUUGCACAUUAGCAGAGUCAAUUAUCAGCUCUGCUCUCUGCUUCCUUGAUUAUUAUUUCAGUAUGUAGCAGCUGCUUCACAAACGUUAUGGUCCAUCACACUCUGAAGGGACUGAGUUAAAUGCAGAUUAUUGACCGGUGAGGCCAUAAGAAGGUACUGUAAAAUAUACAGUCGUGUUCUCCCAUAAAUCCCCAGCGAGAGUGCUUUUCAAACAAAUUUCUCUUGCGGUGGGAGUGCUUUCUGUCAUCAUCAAGGCCCUGAAAAAUGCUUUUUCCACCUGAUUUGCGCCACCUCCUCUGCAACAUCAUUGUCUCUUUUGGCACUGCAUCUUCACAUAAACGUGCAGUCCUCCCUCUCUCAAGGUAUUUGUCAGGACUCCCAGGCUUCAGUAGGGAUGCUUGACUUACGGCUUGUUCUGUACACGGGCAGGGUGAUCUAUAUUUAAUCUCUGUUCUGGCCCCAGGCUUUCUGCUGGCCCUGAGUUUCUCAAGUUCCUGUUGCUUCAGGUUCCCUAAUUCUGGCUGACUGUGGGCUUUUUGUUGAGGCAGCCCAUGUUAUGUAGGGCAUGACUGGACACCAUUGUGAGCACUUUGAACAUCCAGAGAAGACUUCUUUCCUUCCUCUGCCUGCCUGACGUAUGGCUGGCUGUCACCCCUGUAGAAGGUGAUGCUUUUACAUGCUGGGGGCAAGCACAUCUAUGAUGGGUUUACAGAGACACUUCAGAGGGUAUUUUUGCUGUCUGGUGCUUCCUCAGCUUGCUUCCCAUCUCAAAUCUUUCUACCAGCAAUCCAAGUAUACACUGAGCCUAAGCAGAUAUAGUGGUGUUAUCUGCAACCUCCUGAAGCCUACUCUGCGUCUCUCUGGGUGGGGAGAGAAAAAACACGUGGACAGGACUGGGACAAGGGAGGCAUCAAACAUUUGAGUCAGAACUCUUGGAUUUAUCAUGGAUCCUUUUGCAGGUCUCCCCAGCAAAUCCACUGGAAGGUUUGCUGGCAUUGUUUGGGUGGGGGUGGCAUCUUCCACUGCAUUUUUUCAUAGAUAAGGCUAGCCAAAGUGAGAGAAACGUCUCAUGACUCUUAUCAGCUCUCACUGAGGUUACCCCUGGGUGGCUGACAUUUUGUCCUAGAAGUCUGUGGGGCUGUUGGUGGGAGGACCCAUUGCACGUGGCCAGGAGGAUGACACAGUCAUGCUGCGUGCUCGUGUCUCAACCCAGGAGCUUUUGAAGAGUGUGCAGGAAAGGGUCAACUUGAAGCAACCUUUGUCCCUUUGAAGGCCUGAGCUACAUAUAAAAGCCAGUGAGCUACUCUUUUUUUUUUCUUGCUUGCCACCAUUGUAGAAGUCUAGCCACCUUCGAGAUUCAUAACUGAAACUGCAACUCAUCUGGAGAUCCAGGUAGUAUCUCCAGCACUUGUUAUAUAUGCACUGGUGCUCAGCCUUCACUUUUCCUAGAAAUGUCAGGCUAUGCACAGUGGCAGUUCCGUGGUCUGAUAUCUACACAAGCUGCAAGCAACACAAGCCACACUAUACCAACAUAAGCUGUUCAUGUGAUGCUUCCGUCCUGCAGCUGCUUUCAGAAUGGCUUGCUUUCUCUUAGAGCCUUGUUCAUCUUUACAUCUCCCUACAGUCACGCACUUCUCGUAGGACAACCUAUGGCUUAUGUCCCCCAGUUAAAGCUGAUGAGUGUAUCCCAGUUCAACACCACUUUAUAUGCUGGUCUUUGGGUUUGGUUCCAGAAUGUGUCUCACUACUCUCCUCAUACAUGCCCUUGCCUUCUGCCUGGGACAACAACCUGAACGUCAAGGCAGUGCGCAGUUAGAUGUGAUUACGCUGGCUCUUUGAGGGAUAUGGGCUAUGCUCCCACAGCCCAAACGGUGUCCUUUGAUGUCUGAGGGAUGUGAGAAGCCUUCAGCUCUUGGAGAGGAGGAGGCUGACACAGAAUACAAACAAGGUUUGCUCAAACGUGGAGUUGUUUGCCCAGCCCUGCAGUGCAGCAGCAGUGCGAUGCUCACUGCAACUCCUACGUGUGCUGGAGAAAAGCUGCCAGGGGAAGCACAUCUUCAUGCAGCUUGUCCUCAGCACCCUGCCCUCACUGUUCCAGGGGUGAGAGAGGCUGCUGCCCUAUAGCUGGUAGUGCAAAGGGAGCACUGCCCCUGCCCAUUGGUGCAGAGGAGAUCUUCUUGCUAGCUUAGCUGUCAUCUGCUUUGAAACUUUCCCUCCUGUGGUGCUCCUCUGCUGAAAUUCGACAUGGAAAUGAUCCUGAUUUAUUCUGGAAUAAUAGGAUGAAAUGGUGCAAAGGAAAAUUUCAGAGUGAGGAGUGAGAUAAACAGUCAGUCAGGAGAGAAAGAAGAGGGGACCUCCAUUGCUCUGCUCCCUGUGGGAACAGAUAUCACGCUGGAAAGUUUGGUGCUGGGAGUGAUGUGCUGCUGGAUGGAAUAGGAUGAGAGAGAAUGGCCUAUGUUACACUAGGGGAGGUUCAGUUUGAAGAUCGGGAACGAAUGUCUUCCCAGAAGAGCAAUGAGGCAUUGGCACAGGCUGCCCAAGGAGGUGGUGCAGUCACUGUCCCUGGAGGUGCUCAAGAACUG